AUUGAACGCUGGCGGCAGGCUUAACACAUGCAAGUUGCGCGGAGAUGAGGUGCUUGCACCUUAUCUUAGCGGCGGACGGGUGAGUAAUGCUUAGGAAUCUGCCUAUUAGUGGGGGACAACAUUCCGAAAGGAAUGCUAAUACCGCAUACGUCCUACGGGAGAAAGCAGGGGAUAUUCGGACCAUGCGCUAAUAGAUGAGCCUCAGUCGGAUUAGCUAGUUGGUGGGGUAAAGGCCGACCAAGGCGACGAUCUGAAGCGGGUCUGAGAGGAUGAUCCGCCACACUGGGACUGAGACACGGCCCAGACUCCUACGGGAGGCAGCAGUGGGGAAUAUUGGACAAUGGGGGGAACCCUGAUCCAGCCAUGCCGCGUGUGUGAAGAAGGCCUUAUGGCUGUAAAGCACUUUAAGCGAGGAGGAGGCUACUGAGACUAAUACUCUUGGAUAGUGGACGUUACUCGCAUAAUAAGCACCGGCUAACUCUGUGCCAGCAGCCGCCGUAACAC
rnacentral:rRNA from 1 species